rnacentral:rRNA from 1 species
GACGAACGCUGGCGGCGUGCCUAAUACAUGCAAGUUGAGCGAUGAAGAUUGGUGCUUGCACCCAUUUGAAGAGCAGCGAACGGGUGAGUAACGCGUGGGGAAUCUGCCUUUGAGCGGGGGACAACAUUUGGAAACGAAUGCUAAUACCGCAUAACAACUUUAAACAUAAGUUUUAAGUUUGAAAGAUGCAAUUGCAUCACUCAAAGAUGAUCCCGCGUUGUAUUAGCUAGUUGGUGAGGUAAAGGCUCACCAAGGCGAUGAUACAUAGCCGACCUGAGAGGGUGAUCGGCCACAUUGGGACUGAGACACGGCCCAAACUCCUACGGGAGGCAGCAGUAGGGAAUCUUCGGCAAUGGACGAAAGUCUGACCGAGCAACGCCGCGUGAGUGAAGAAGGGUUUCGGAUCGUAAAACUCUGUUGGUAGAGAAGAACGUUGGUGAGAGUGGAAAGCUCAUCAAGUGACGGUAACUACCCAGAAAGGGACGGCUAACUACGUG